rnacentral:rRNA from 1 species
CAACUCGCCUGUAUGAAGUUGGAAUUGCUAGUAAUCGCGGAUCAGCAUGCCGCGGUGAAUACGUUCCCGGGCCUUGUACACACCGCCCGUCACACCAUGAGAGCCGGUAAUACCCGAAGUCAGUAUCCUAACCGCAAGGAGGGAGCUGCCGAAGGUAGGAUUGGCGAUUGGGGUGAAGUCGUAACAAGGUAAC